rnacentral:rRNA from 1 species
UACGGAGGGUGCGGGCGUUAUCCGGAAUUACUGGGCGUAAAGCGUGCGUAGUCGGCUUUUUAAGUCGGGUGUGAAAUCCCCGGGCUCAACCUGGGAAUUGCAUUCGAUACUGGAUCGCUAGAGUUCGGCAGAGGAAGGCGGAAUUCCCGGUGUAGCGGUGAAAUGCGUAGAUAUCGGGAGGAACAUCAGUGGCGAAGGCGGCCUUCUGGUCCAGUACUGACACUCAAGUGCGAAAGCGUGGGGAGCAAACAGG